AAAAUCCGUCGACUUUAGAAAUCGUGAGGGUUCAAGUCCCUCUAUCCCCCCAAAAAGACCGAUUUGACUAUUUCUCCUACCCUCUCUUUUUUUUAGUGGUUCAAAAUCCGUUCUCUUUCUCAUUCAUUCUACCUUUUUACAAACGUAUCAGAGCAUAAUUUUUUUUUUAUCACAAUCCCAAUCCCAAGUGGUGUGGUAUAUAUGAUAUACGUACAAAUGAACAUCUUUGAACAAAGAAUCCCGAUUCACAAUUCAUAUCAUUGCUCAUACUGAAACUUAUAAAUUAUUCUAUUCAAGAAAUCGAAUUCCACGCUCAAGACUUUUAAUACUUUUUUAUCUUUUUUAAUUGACAUAGACCCCAGUCAUCUAGUAAAAUGAGGAUGAUGCGCCGGUAAUGGUCGGGAUAGCUCAGCUGGUAGAGCAGAGGACUGAAAAUCCUCGUGUCACCAGU
rnacentral:tRNA from 1 species